rnacentral:rRNA from 1 species
GAGCCUGUAUUGGGUUCCAGUAUGAAUGAAGUUAUUGGUUAAUUUAUUUUUUAGUUUUUUUAUUGAAUUUUUUUUUCAAUAAUAAAAAGUUAUUGUUGUAACAAAACAAAGAUAAGUCUUCGGAAAUUUUAUUUUUAGAAUAACAAUGGUUGUUUUAAAAAGUUUUCUAGGGCAGAAUUUUAUAUAAUAAUUUAAAUCUAUUAAUAAUUUUUAAAAUUACUCCGGAGUUAACAGAAAAUCAUACCUAAUCUAGUUCUUAUAGUAAGGUAAGUUUUACAUCGAUGUUGUAUUUAAGUUUAUUAAAAAAGGAGAAAUUUUAAUUUUUAAGACUGUUCUUCUUUUAAUUAACUUAACGUGAUAUUAGUUUAAUUCAUUGUGAGAUAGAAUUGUUUAUCUUGUUUGUUACUGGGUUAUAGUUUUAACAGUACGAAAGGAAAAUCAAAAAAAGUU